rnacentral:rRNA from 1 species
UACGUAGGGGGCUAGCGUUGUCCGGAUUUAUUGGGCGUAAAGCGUGCGCAGGCGGUGAUGUAAGACAGAUGUGAAAUCCCCGGGCUCAACCUGGGAACUGCAUUUGUGACUGCAUCGCUGGAGUGCGGCAGAGGGGGAUGGAAUUCCGCGUGUAGCAGUGAAAUGCGUAGAUAUGCGGAGGAACACCGAUGGCGAAGGCAAUCCCCUGGGCCUGCACUGACGCUCAUGCACGAAAGCGUGGGGAGCAAACAGG